UACGUAGGGGGCAAGCGUUAUCCGGAUUUACUGGGUGUAAAGGGAGCGUAGACGGCAGCGCAAGUCUGGAGUGAAAUCCCAUGGCUUAACCAUGGAACUGCUUUGGAAACUGUGCAGCUAGAGUGCAGGAGGAGGUAAGCGGAAUCCUAGUGUAGCGGUGAAAUGCGUAGAUAUUAGGAGGAACACCAGUGGCGAAGGCGGAGCUUGACCUUGGACUGGUAACGUGACGAU
rnacentral:rRNA from 1 species